CGGUGUAGCUCAGUUGGUAGAGCACUGGAUUUGUAAUCCAGCGGUCAUCGGUUCAACUCCGAUCGC
rnacentral:tRNA from 1 species